rnacentral:rRNA from 1 species
GACGAACGCUGGCGGCGUGCUUAACACAUGCAAGUCGAACGGAAAGGCCCUGCUUUUGUGGGGUGCUCGAGUGGCGAACGGGUGAGUAACACGUGAGUAACCUGCCCUUAACUUUGGGAUAACUUCAGGAAACUGGGGCUAAUACCGGAUAGGAGCUCCUGCUGCAUGUUGGGGGAUGGAAAGAUUCGGCGGUUGGGGCUGGACUCGCGGCUUAUCAGCUUGUUGGUGGGGUAGUGGCUUACCAAGGCUUCGACGGGUAGCCGGCCUGAGAGGGUGACCGGCCACAUUGGGCCUGAGAUACGGCCCAGAAUCCAACGGGAGGCAGCAGGGGGGAAUAUUGCACAAUGGGCGGAAGCCUGAUGCAGCAACGCCGCGUGCGGGAUGACGGCCUUCGGGUUGUAAACCGCUUUCGCCUGUGACGAAGCGUGAGUGACGGUAAUGGGUAAAGAAGCAACGGCUAACUACGUG